CAGGGAUUGCCCUAGUAACGGCGAGUGAAGCGGCAACAGCUCAAAUUUGAAAUCUGGCCUCGGCCCGAGUUGUAAUUUGCAGAGGAUGCUUCUGGCGCGGUGCCUUCCGAGUUCCCUGGAACGGGACGCCACAGAGGGUGAGAGCCCCGUAUGGUCGGACACCAAGCCUGUGUGAAGCUCCUUCGACGAGUCGAGUAGUUUGGGAAUGCUGCUCUAAAUGGGAGGUAAAUCUCUUCUAAAGCUAAAUACCGGCCAGAGACCGAUAGCGCACAAGUAGAGUGAUCGAAAGAUGAAAAGCACCUUGAAAAGGGGGUUAAAUAGUACGUGAAAUUGUUGAAAGGGAAGCACUUAUGACCAGACUUGGGCCGGGCGGCUCAUCAGGGGUUCUCCCCUGUGCACUCCGCCCGGCACAGGCCAGCAUCGGUUCUCGUGGGGGGAUAAGACCGACAGGAACGUAGCACCCUCCCGGGGUGUGUUAUAGCCUGGCGGACGAUACCCCCGUGGGGACCGAGGUCCGCGCUCCGCAAGGAUGCUGGCGUAAUGGUCAUCAGUGACCCGUCUUGAAACACGGACCAAGGAGUCGUCCAUUAGAGCGAGCGUUUGGGUGUAAAACCCGCACGCGUAAUGAAAGUGAACGCAGGUGAGAGCUUCGGCGCAUCAUCGACCGAUCCUGAUGUUCUCGGAAGGAUUUGAGUAAGAGUUUUAACGGACGGACCCGAAAGACAGUGAACUAUGCUUGAAUAGGGUGAAGCCAGAGGAAACUCUGGUGGAGGCUCGCAGCGGUUCUGACGUGCAAAUCGAUCGUCAAAUUUGAGCAUGGGGGCGAAAGACUAAUCGAACUGUCUAGUAGCUGG
rnacentral:rRNA from 1 species